UUCCGGUUGAUCCCGCCGGAGGUCACUGCUAUUGGGAUUCGACUAAGCCAUGCGAGUCGAGAGGGUUCGGCCCUCGGCUGACGGCUCAGUAACACGUGGAUAAUCUGCCCUAAGAUGGAGGAUAACCUCGGGAAACUGAGAAUAAUACUCCAUAGGUCUAAGAUGCUGGAAUGCAUUUAGACUGAAAACUCCGGUGCCUUAGGAUGAGUCUGCGGACUAUCAGGUUGUAGUCAGGGUAAAGACCUGACUAGCCUACGACGGAUACGGGUUGUGAGAGCAAUAACCCGGAGAUGAUAUCUGAGACACGAUAUCAGGCCCUACGGGGCGCAGCAGGCGCGAAAACUUCACAAUGUGCGAAAGCGCGAUGAGGGAAUCCCAAGUGCAUGCACGUAAGUGUAUGCUGUUUCUUUGUUUAAAAAGCAUAGAGAGUAAGGGCUGGGUAAGACGGGUGCCAGCCGCCGCGGUAAUACCUGCAGCUCAAGUGGUGAUCGUUAUUAUUGGGCCUAAAACGUCCGUAGCCGGUUUAGUAAAUGCCUGGGUAAAUCGUGUAGCUCAACUAUACGAAUUCCGGGUAGACUGCUAAACUUGAGACCGGGAGAGGCUAGAGGUACUCCUGGGGUAGAGGUGAAAUUCUGUAAUCCUAGGGGGACCACCAGUGGCGAAGGCGUCUAGCUAGAACGGGUCUGACGGUGAGGGACGAAGCCCUGGGGCGCAAACCGGAUUAGAUACCCGGGUAGUCCAGGGUGUAAACGCUGCUUGCUUGAUGUUAGUCGGGCUCCGAGCCCGAUUAGUGUCGGAGAGAAGUUGUUAAGCAAGCUGCCUGGGAAGUACGGUCGCAAGACUGAAACUUAAAGGAAUUGGCGGGGGAGCACAGCAACGGGUGGAGCGUGCGGUUUAAUUGGAUUCAACGCCGGGAAUCACUAGUGCGGCCGCCUGCAGGUCGACCAUAU
rnacentral:rRNA from 1 species